AGAGGAGCUGUGGUUUCCAUUUUCCUGCAGAUAAAGCUCCACUGGAAGGAAUCCCAGGGUGGGUGACUGCCCACCAGCGCCUGUGCCAAGCCCCUGUCCCCACCUCCCGGGUCACCCGCCUUACGUCCAGUCCCAGCGAGUGAGCCUCUUGCCUUUUCUCCUGCUGCAGGAGGCUGACAGGCUCACCAUCACACAUGGGCGUGACUUUACUUGCCCAAAGGGUCUUUGCAGAUGUUCCUCAGAUCGCAAAGAUCUUAAAAUGGUCUCUUAGGGCCAGACAAGUAUCCUUAUUACACACAAAAAAAGAGACACAGAAGAGGUGGCCACGUGACAAGGAACAGACUGCAGUGACUUACUCAUCAGUCAGUGCUGUCUGAGGCCACAUGACAAUGGCAGACAGGACAGCUGGCUGCCCUGCUCACACCUUGCCCUUGCCUGCUGAACUAGGAAAAGCAAGGACCACUAUUACAACCCUUCAGCUGGGAUAUCCUGUCACCGUGGUCACAAGGGACUCUUAAAGGAAAGAGCACACGGCCUUUGAGGUCAGUGUCCAGAGAGGUCCCAAUACACAGGCCAAAACAAUAUGCAGCACGAUGCAAAAUUAGUCACUUUCCCCGCAUCCUGUGGAGGGUCUUCUGUGUGUUCACACCCCACGCUCCCACCCAGCCUUGGCAUCGCAGCACCUGCCACCCACCGUGACACCGUUUCCUCUCCCUGGGGAGCCACCGCCUCUACUUUGGUCUCAGUCACGAAGGCUCCUCUUGCACCUCCAUCCCACGCCACCACACUGGCCACCGUGUGAAAGAGCACAAACUGCUCCAGAAUCAAGAACCCUGGAGGGAGAUGGUCAGUGCUGUCCACUCGACCAGACAGAGAAGACAGACCUCCGGGCAUGAUGGUGGGGGCUAUCUGGAUUACAUUAACUGAGUUGCUUUUGCUGGAGCACUUUAACCCAACAGGAAGAGACUAAGAUACCGGGCAAGGCCAGGACAGAGAUGGACGUAAGCGGCAGCAGCUGUGCCGUGUGGUCACCCUCACAGAUCGAAAAGGUCUUUCCCUAGGGAACAGGACUACAAAGACUCAUGAAGCUCAAGACUCAAGGAGACAAGCGAAACAUCCACCAAGAGACAAGCAGACCAACCACAGUACAACUGGCCAGCGAAGCGCUCUUCAGCACAAAAAGCCCCGAGCACUGACCCGCAAGAAUCAUGCAUGAAUCUCAGAGCCACAGUGCAGAGUUAAAGCGAAGACACAGCGAGUACAACAGGGCAGCUCUUCCUGCACCUCUUUCUUUCUGAAGGUUCGGUUAUCCAGUCAAUCACAGUCCAGAAAUACUGAAUGGAAAGUUCCAGAAAUAAAUAAUUCAUAAGGCUUAAAUUACAA